rnacentral:rRNA from 1 species
AAUGCUUGACUCUGUAGCGGGAAAGCGUAUUAUGCACACCCCGCGCCGCUGAGAAAAAGCGAAGCGGCACUGCUCUUUAACAAUUUA